rnacentral:rRNA from 1 species
ACCUCCAGCAUCUCUAGUAUUGGAGGCACUGCCUGCCCAGUGACAAUAGUUUAACGGCCGCGGUAUCCUGACCGUGCAAAGGUAGCAUAAUCACUUGUUCUCUAAAUAAGGACUUGUAUGAAUGGCCACACGAGGGUUUUACUGUCUCUUACUUCCAAUCAGUGAAAUUGACCUCCCCGUGAAGAGGCGGGAAUAAAUUAAUAAGACGAGAAGACCCUAUGGAGCUUUAACUAACCAAUCCAAAGAAAACAGACUAAAUAACUCAGGAAAUAACAACGUCUUCUUAUGAUUUGACAGUUUCGGUUGGGGUGACCUCGGAGAAUAAAAAAUCCUCCGAACGAUUUUAAAGACUAGACCUACAAGUCAAAUCACUCAAUCGCUCAUUGAUCCAAAAACUUGAUCAACGGAACAAGUUACCCUAGGGAUAACAGCGCAAUCCUAUUCAAGAGUCCAUAUCGACAAUAGGGUUUACGACCUCGAUGUUGGAUCAGGACACCCAGAUGGUGCAACCGCUAUCAAA